CCUACGGGUGGCAGCAGUGGGGAAUUUUGCGCAAUGGGCGAAAGCCUGACGCAGCAACGCCGCGUGGGUGAUGAAGGUCUUCGGAUCGUAAAACCCUGUCGUUGGGGACGAAGGUGGGGGCGUUAAUAGCGUUUCUGCUUGACGGUACCCGGAGAGGAAGCCCCGGCUAACUCUGUGCCAGCAGCCGCGGUAAUACAGAGGGGGCAAGCGGUGUUCGAAAUUAUUGGGGGUGGUUUUUUAAGUCGGGGGUGUAAUCCCCGAGCUCAACUUGGGAACUGCAUCUGAGACUGGAAGGCUAGAGUACUGGAGAGGGUGGUGGAAUUCCUCGUGUAGCGGUGAAAUGCGUAGAGAUGAGGAGGAACACCAGUGGCGAAGGCGGCCACCUGGACAGUAACUGACGCUGAGGCGCGAAAGUGUGGGUAGCAAACAGGAUUAGAUACCCGGGUAGUC
rnacentral:rRNA from 1 species